CAGUCGCCACGGUAAUACGUAGGGUGCGAGCGUUAAUCGGAAUUACUGGGCGUAAAGCGUGCGCAGGCGGUUGUGUAAGACAGGUGUGAAAUCCCCGGGCUUAACCUGGGAACUGCGCUUGUGACUGCACAGCUAGAGUAUGGCAGAGGGGGGUGGAAUUCCACGUGUAGCAGUGAAAUGCGUAGAGAUGUGGAGGAACACCGAUGGCGAAGGCAGCCCCCUGGGCCAAUACUGACGCUCAUGCACGAAAGCGUGGGGAGCAAACAGGAUUAGAUACCCCCGUAGUCCCUGUCUCUUAUAC
rnacentral:rRNA from 1 species